CAGACAGAAUUACCCUUCCUAACACGCAGCCCCCACAUAGUGACUUUCAUGAGCUGUUACAGAGCUGCUUGUAUAACCAAGGGGACCUGGCUGGGGAUAUAAGCGCAUUUACCUAUGGUGGAGGAAAGAAGAGGAACAUAUCUGUUGUUAAAUUAGUACAAAAUGUUCAGACCCUCGACGAUAAGUGAUCUCUAUGCCUUCAAAAACCAAAGGAUGAGUAUGAACAGGGUCUGACAUGUGUCCAGAGCCCCUCUGGAGUCACCCUAUGCUGAGAUAAUAAUUACUGCUGUCAACCAAGUGCCUCGGGAUGAGCAGCCCAUGUCCAGAGAAGGUGAUGCUGCACCAGCUCCUGCACGCCUAGUGCACGUCAGUGCAGCGCCGUGCCUCUGCGCCCUGCCUGCUCUGCGUCCUUGCACAGAAGGCAUCCAGCAAAGAGAUGGGCUGGGAACGAUGUAUGGCUGAAUGGGCUUAGACUGACACUUCCUGGAUGCUCGCUGACAAUAAAAGGAAACAUAAGUGGUUUGCAGAACCA